CUUCCGCGUCCCCCGGCGCGGGCGCCCCCGGCUCGCGGGGCGGCGGCGGCCGAGGCGCUCCGGGAGCUGCCUGUCCCAGGGGGCAGCGGCUCCAAAGGACUGGACCCUUUGGAAGGGGAUCCAGCCGCCCCCUUUUUGAGGACGUUUCCCUGAAUCAGCUAAGACAACGCCCUGCAUCCCGGCAGGAUAUUUUAAACCCUCUUCCAGAAUCUGAUUGAUGAAAACUAGUGAAAAAGAUGAGACGUUGUACUAGACAAGAGAAAAUUGGCUGCUCCUUUCAGGAAUUGUGCCAAAAGACUUUGCAUCCAAAGACAUUUUCCCCACAAAGACUGAUGUUCUGAGAUGCAGCUGCACCCCUCUAACCACAGUUAGCUGUUUCUAAGUCUGUGUCUAAUACCCCCUUUUCUAGGGUCAGAGUUACUCGGUCUUGCCCAGGAACAAGUUUUCUGUGACACUACAGUUACCACUGUGCUGCAACAUAGUAGGUAGUGGGUAUAACACCGUUUAUGCUGACCAAGCAGUGUGAGUCCUGCGGUCCAACAGCCUGAAUCAAAGUCAUGCACAGCAUACAUAAGUCCCUUACACAGCUGAUCAUUCAUUUAAUCCUCUUUUAUUCUGAUUUGCUCAAUUACUUCAACCAGGUGCUAGGCAUACACUCAGGCCCCAGGUAUCUGCAGAACAAUGUGUUCAGUUCAACCUAUACAUCUUAAAUCAGAAUUUAACAUUUUUAGAGCUGCACCUUCUCCUGCUACAACACCACUGGUGUCUUUCACCAAUAUUUUGAGCCCUUUGAUGGACUAUGGUCAUGCUCUUAAGCUUCCUAUUCUUUCAGUUGCAAAAGUACAAUGAUUAGAUUUUAUUCAGAUUUUAUUGCCUUAGCCUGCAGAAGAGACCUAAUCUGACCUGAUGUGAUUUGGAAAUUCCUCUGCUUGUGGCAAUACCGUGAACCUUGCUAACCUGUUUUUCCAUUACUUCAUGAUGCUGCAUGCUGAUGAUGUCAGCAGUAUCAGCACUUUCACUUACUUCAGGCAUUUUUAGCUCUAUUGACUCAGCAAGAGCAUAAUGGAAGUUUAACAUGCUUUUACAAGGACCAAGGUAAGGUGCAAGUAUCCUCUGAAACGAAACAAUGCUUUUAGUGAUUCUGGCCGUGCUGUUUCAGCUUCGUCUGUGCUGCAAUGCUGAGAGCAUUGAAAUAGGAAGUUUAUCAAACAAAAGAUUUUGGCUAGCUAUGCCAGGGGUGCAGGACUGCACAGCUGCUGACAGAGCAGACGUGCUAGUAUUGUUAGAGGUGCUUUCUGCCAGACUUGUGCAAGUGAUGCAGCUGACAUCAGUAAUAGCUGUGGUAUGAUUGCUGGAGUGUACAUGACUGUAAAUUGUGCUCUGAUCCAUAUUUGCAGAGGGUUGCUGUAAUUGAAUGCCUCAUUAAUUAGCAAUUACAAGAUGGGUCACUAGUGUCUGCUAAGUGGCCUAGUGUAAUACAUAAAUCCGGUUCUUAAAACCCCUCAAAUCCUGGGAUUGGUUUGAGGUCAAUGCUGAAGGGAUUCAGACGUCAAUAGUCAAGAGAGGCCUUGGCAGCUGAUUCAUAUAUUUUUUCAGCAUUUUAACUGUCCCUAAAAUGCAUUCUUUUUGACUGAAACUAAGCCUCAUUGAAUAGUUAUCAGCCACAGCAGAGUACAUUUGAGGUCACUUUAUUAAAGUAUGAUAUGCAUGUGACUGCUUUAGGCAUAGGUGUUUCUGAGAUUGGGGUGGAGAGGCCAAGUGCACUUUUACCUUCCCUCCCUCCCUCCCUCUCUCUUUUUUUUUCUCCUUCUGUCCUUUCUCUCUCUCUUCUCUUUCUCCUUCUCUUUUCUUUCUCCUUUUCUUGACAAAUUAUUUUUACAUAAGGUUUCUUAGGAACUGGUAACAGUGAUUAUGACAUUAGCUGGAGUUUUGUUGUCUUCCAUAAUCUCUGGUUCAUAGAAAAUAGAGACCUUGUGAGAGAUUUGAAUCCAGACCCUUAACCAGUUGCAGGGGGAGUCAUCAGAGAUGGGCAUUUGUCUAACCCUUUCCUAACAUGUUCCUAAGGACUUCUAAUAAUAAAGGAAUCGGUACCACCCAAAAGAAUUGCAGCAUUAGAAAUUCUUAGUAUUAGGAAGGUUGUUCAAGUGUCUAACCUAAAUUGGUGUUUGCUUAAAUUUAAGUCUAGUAGUUCUUGUCUUCCUCACUGCAGGUGUGACGGGCAACUUAUUCCCCAUGUCUCUGUAACAGUUGUCACCUGUCUAAAUAUUAUCAUGUCUCCUUUUGCCUUCUCCAGACUAGUGAAUUUUACAAUUUUCUUCAUGAAUCAUGGAUGCUAGACAGUGGAGGUGGGUGUUAAGCUGGAGCUGAUCCUAUGUAUCACUGGUGGGCUUUGAGCAUUACCUGUUAAAUGCACUUGAGCAGACCAUUACUAAGAUCCCAAUUCAGCAGGAUACUGCAUCACAUCUGGCAUUUUAAGCACACGAGUAAGCCUGCUACUGUCCAUGUGACUACUACUGUUUGAACUGUAGGAGUUUGAAGGGGCUUACAGUACGCUGUAAAAAUACAGAACAGAACUGUUUUACAGGCAUAUUGGGUUGGCAGUGAAAAAUGCAGGCCAGAAAACAAACUUGGAGGGGUUUGAUGACCUUCGCCUCGUGAUUACUGGGUAAGGCUGGCUUUAUGAAGUACGUGUCGUGUCUGCAUUCUAGUUAUCUGUAAUGCUGUACAUUGUGACUCAUUUCAGAGUUUGUGCACAACAGCACAAGAUCUUAAAAAUGCUUAUUUGAUAACAAAGGUGACUCCUUCUCCCUAGUUCUCCCAUUACCUCUGAUGAUUAAAGAAUUUAUCUGGCA